rnacentral:rRNA from 1 species
UACGUAUGGGGCAAGCGUUAUCCGGAUUUAUUGGGCGUAAAGAGCGCGUAGGCGGUUUGUUAAGCGCGAUGUGAAAACUGGGGGCUCAACCCGCAGCUUGCAUCGUGAACUGGCAGACUUGAGUCUGGUAGAGGAGUGUGGAAUUCCCAGUGUAGCGGUGAAAUGCGCAGAUAUUGGGAGGAACACCAGUGGCGAAGGCGGCACUCUGGGCCACGACUGACGCUGAGGCGCGAAAGCUAGGGGAG